ACCACUUUGGGUCUAUUGUACGCAGCCUUUCCCUACAUUUCUGUAAGAGGCUGUUUCCAGGACUUGAACCCGUGACCUCAUGGUCACAAGGCAGCAGCUUUACCACUGCGCCAAGGCUCCCCUUCUGGUUACACUCUUUCGACAGUCGAUACAUAUUUUCUCUUGGAUUAUUUACAAAAGAAAAUGAUUUGGGGUGAAGAGUUGAAGGCCUGAAACCAAAUGUUACUAAUCAGGAAGAUGACCCGCACAACUCCUCUGAAACAAGGCCAACCCUAUGUGCAAAGAUUUAAAGAUUGCAAAUGUGUUUAAUGUGGUUCAAUAUCAUAUAGCACUGUAUUGCUUCAUGCAGACCCUUUUUAUCAUUCAUUUUUAUUAUUUAAAUCUCUAUACGGCCGUCAUAGAUGCUGCUAUUACAUGGAUUUAUUACUAUUUUUCA